CCUACGGGAGGCAGCAGUGGGGAAUAUUGCGCAAUGGGCGAAAGCCUGACGCAGCGACGCCGCGUGAGGGAUGAAGGUCUUCGGAUCGUAAACCUCUGUCAGCAGGGAAGAACGGUCACUGUGCUAAUCAGCAGUGAAUUGACGGUACCUGCAAAGGAAGUACCGGCUAACUCCGUGCCAGCAGCCGCGGUAAUACGGAGGGUGCGAGCGUUAAUCGGAAUUACUGGGCGUAAAGCGCUCGUAGGCGGUAUGUCAAGUCAAGGGUGAAAUCCCCGCGCUCAACGUGGGAACUGCCUUUGAAACUGGCAAACUGGAGUGUGUGAGAGGAUAGUGGAAUUCCAGGUGUAGGAGUGAAAGCCGUAGAUAUCUGGAGGAACAUCAGUGGCGAAGGCGACUAUCUGGCACAUAACUGACGCUGAGGAGCGAAAGCGUGGGUAGCAAACAGGAUUAGAUACCUUUGUAGUC
rnacentral:rRNA from 1 species